rnacentral:rRNA from 1 species
UACAGAGGUCUCAAGCGUUGUUCGGAUUCAUUGGGCGUAAAGGGCGCGUAGGCGGUGAGGUAAGUCGGGUGUGAAAUCUCAGAGCUCAACUCUGAAACUGCACUCGAUUCUGCUUUGCUAGAGGACUGGAGAGGAGAUUGGAAUUCACGGUGUAGCAGUGAAAUGCGUAGAGAUCGUGAGGAAGACCAGUGGCGAAGGCGGAUCUCUGGACAGUUCCUGACGCUGAGGCGCGAAGGCCAGGGGAGCAAACGGG